UCAGCAGCCACGGUAACACGUAGGGGGCAAGCGUUAUCCGGAAUUACUGGGUGUAAAGGGAGCGUAGACGGUUAAACAAGUCUGAAGUGAAAUGCCGGGGCUCAACCCCGGAGCUGCUUUGGGAACUGCAUUUGAGACUGUAUGGCUAGAGUGUGUCAGAGGGGGGUAGAAUUCCACGUGUAGCAGUGAAAUGCGUAGAUAUGUGGAGGAAUACCGAUGGCGAAGGCAGCCCCCUGGGAUAACACUGACGCUCAUGCACGAAAGCAUGGGGAGCAAACAGGAUUAGAGACCCCUGUAGUCCC
rnacentral:rRNA from 1 species